GGUUUAAUUAAAAAUUUGAUUUGCAUUCAGAAAUAAGACAAUAAGUCUUUAAAUCA
rnacentral:tRNA from 1 species